rnacentral:rRNA from 1 species
AUGGCGCCGCUGCCCACGCCCUCCCCCCGCACGGGCCCGCCGUCGACGCCGCAGGCGUCGGCGGGGGCCGCGACCCCGUUCCGGACGCCCACCUCCAAGCACCGCCUCCACUUCCCGCCCGGCACCCCGCGCCACGGCGCGACCGGCGCCGCCACGGAGCACCCCGUCGAGGUCAUCGGCCGCGUGCGCAACCUCACCGCCUCCGCCGCGGGCGCCUCGGUGCUGGAGGUCCCGGGCGGCGCGGGCGGGGGCGGCACCACCGUCCGGGUCCGCGGGGACGCGGGCGGCAUCUCGUGCCGCGACUUCAGCCUCGACGGCGUGUCCGUCUCCGAGGAGGAGGACCUCGAGGGGUUCUACCGCCGCUUCGUCAGGUCCCGGAUCCAGGGCGUGCGGGUCGGGGCCAAGUGCACCGUCAUGGUGUACGGGCCCACGGGCUCCGGGAAGAGCCACACCAUGUUCGGCUGCGCCAAGCAGCCCGGGAUCGUGUACCGGGCGCUCCGGGACAUCCUCGACGGGGGAGGGGGCUGUAGUACUGGUGGUGAAAGCGGCGAGGAGGUGGACGCCGGGUUCGGGGUCGGGCUGUUCGUGCAGGUCGCCGUGCUCGAGAUUUACAAUGAGGAGAUCUACGAUUUGCUCGUCGGCAGCGGUGCCAAUACUAAAGGGAACGCCCCCAAGGUGAGGCUAGAAGUAAUGGGGAAGAAAGCCAAAAAUGCAACUUAUAUAUCUGGAAAUGAAGCUGGAAAGAUAUCCAGGGAAGUUGCAAAAGUAGAGAAGCGGCGUACUGUCAAGAGCACACUCUGUAAUGAGAGAAGUUCGCGAAGUCACUGCAUGAUUAUCUUGGAUGUGCCAUCGGUCGGAGGAAGGCUGAUGCUGGUGGAUAUGGCUGGUUCUGAAAAUAUAGAAGCUGCAGGCCAAACUGGAUUUGAUGCCAAGAUGCAGACGGCGAAGAUCAACCAAGGCAACACAGCUUUGAAACGAGUGGUUGAGUCCAUAGCCAAUGGUGAUUCACAUGUUCCAUUUCGAGACAGCAAGCUCACAAUGCUGUUACAGGACUCAUUUGAGGAUGACAAAUCAAAGAUUCUGAUGAUUCUGUGUGCGAGUCCUGACCCAAAGGAAUUGCACAAGACAGUUUCUACCUUGGAAUACGGUGCUAAAGCAAAAUGCAUUAUCCGUGCUGCUCAUGCAUCAACACCAAGGGAUAAAAUUAGCUCUGAGGAGUCAUCUUCAAUGCUCAAUUCAAGGAUUGUUGCAAUGAACCAGUUCAUAUACAAGCUCCAGAAGGAGAACAAGCAAAGAGAGAAAGAGCGCAAUGAGGCCCAGAAUGUCCUUCGGCUAAAGGAGGAGGAGCUAGCACAAGUGAGGGCGAAGGUUAGGCUGCUAGAAGGGCAGGGUGCAGCUGCAAAGGAGGAAGAGAUCAACUCAAAGGUCGCUGAGAAGACCAAGAUGCUGAAGAGUGAGCUCCAGAUGAUGGAAGAGAAAAUGCUUAGGCAGCAGCAAGAGCUCCUUGCUUUGAAGCGACGACUGCAGGAGGUGGAGCUUGAAAAGGCAGAUGCUCGUCAGCCUGCGCAGCAGGAUGUCAUUGGUGGUAGAUUGUUGGCACGACUAUCAGAGAUGUCUGCAGGAGGAGAUCAAUGCAUGUCAAUGGCGAUGUCGAUGUCCAUGGAUUUGGAUGCUGGAGAUCAGCCGUCUGUGCUGGAUGUGAAGGUCAUCAAGGAGGAUACUCGCCAGCAGCAGGGCCAGAUGUGGAAUCACACAUCGACAGCAGGCUCUUGCACCACUGUCCUGGAGCAAGAAGAUGUGGUCAGGCUUUCUGGGUUCCCUGAAAAGGCGGUCCUGAGCACUGUAUUUGAGGAGGGAGAUGAAGAAAGCGAAGAGAAGGACAGUGGUGCUGAGGUGGAGGUGUGCAAAGAAGUGGUGGAAGAGGAGAGUUACAAGGUGGACCGAAUGGGACAACCGCUUGCUGAACCGGACCGGACCAACCGUAUCCAGAACAUCUUCAGGCUGUGUGGCAACUACCGUGAGCUGGUCAAGAAACAAAACGCCGAAGAGUCACCGGCGGCGAAGCAGCAAGCUUUUGGAGAUGAGAACAAGCAGCCCGGAGAGCAGCAGUUGCCGGGAGAUGAGAACAUUCAGCAGGCAAAUCAGGUGUUCGGUGAUGAGAACAAGGACCCAUCAGCAGCAUGGGCAGCCAUGGAAACCCCCAUGUGCGACGUCAAGGUUGCCGACAGCCCUGUGUCGUCGCAGCUCUCGCCCAUCGUUUGCCAAGCCGUGGACGACGCCGAGCUGACAAUGCCGGAAGAGCUAAAAUCAUGCACCACAGAUGGCGAAGCAAAUGAGCUGAGCAAGGAGCGAGAGGGCUUGCUGGAUGUCUACAUCAAAUGGGAGUCCGGCAGUCUGAUCAAGGGGCUGAAGCUUCUGCCGACCGCUUGCCUUUCAGACCUGAGGAAGCUCAUCGAGGCUCACUUUGAAGAAGCCGGCAGCAAGCAGCAGCACCACCAGUUCACAUUCCUCCUCCUUGGGGACCCUUCUGGUGCUCCGGUGUCGAGGGAGAAGGAGGCGACGGUGCAGAUCAGCAGGCUGCCCAACUGGAACAACCAGACCAACAGCUACCUGGCCUGCCUGCGCGUCGCCAAGAAGCCGGCGACGAUGGAGCAGCAGCAGCUCCACCAGACGCCCUUGAGCCCGCUGGAGAGCAAGCUCAACUCCUUGGCCCUGCACCACCACCAUGCCGCCGCGCAGAUGAGCCCCAGCUACAUCCGGGAGCUCAGAGCUUGA